ACCAAGCAUUGUUGUAAGUCACUCUGGAUAAGGGUGUCUGCUAAAUACCUUAAA
rfam:Astyanax mexicanus chromosome 24, whole genome shotgun sequence.